UUCAGCUACUACUUUUAUCUUGCAUAAGGCUUUAAAGAAUCUAAGAAAGAAAUUCCACCACAAUAAACCAACACAUCAGCGAUGAAAAUUAAACAUAAACCAGAGAUUACUCUUAACGCAACAAUGAGCCCAGUAAAUACAUUGCUCAUGUUACCAAUGAGUUUUCAACUAAAUGAUUACUAACAUUGUCAUCAGAACUGUGAGAUUUCAAAUCUCAGUCAAGUUGAAUAAAACCGAAAAAACAAAAAAAAUACAUAGCACAUGCCGGUUAAAAUUCCAUGCACCUACUUCAUCCUCUCUUGCUUUAUCGCAUUCUCUCACCUGUUGGCAAGAUAGGUUCUGAUCCCGAGUGAGUAAAAAUAUGGGGAUCCAUACAUUGAAAUACUUGAAAUUUUUAAUCACCUUCUACACCUAAAUAUCAAAAUACAGGAAGAUGGGUUUAAUCUCCUAUUACUUCUUCCUCUUUCCUGAGCCGACAUAAUCAUCCGUUGUCAAUUCUUACGUUUCUUUAGCAAGCUGGGACUCUCAGUUUGCCUUCCCGUAGCACGCUUUGACGGUGUUAUGUUCUUGGCAAGCUUCUUCUCUUUGCGUGCUUGUCUCUCUCUCUCAUCAUAUUCUUGGUUUUCCUUCUCCACCAACCGAAUUAGAGUAUCACAUCUCCUUGCGAGUUCUUGAGUUGUACGAGACUUCACAAACCAAUCAAAACGAAACAAAGGUGACGUGCGAAAUGCUGCCUUUAACUCAUCCCAGUUUCCAUAUCCAAGCUUGUGAACCAUGCAAAUCAUGAAUCGAUCACAUUCUUCAUUGUACAGCUUCCCUUUGUUCUGACCAUACUGGAUCUUCAAUUCAAGCCACGGAUUCUUGUAUCGAUCCAAUUUCUUCCCAAUUGCUUUCAUGAUCUCAUCUUUACGGGAAAUUCUAGCCUCUCCUCUCUCAAUAUUCUUAAUGAUCCUAUCAUAAUCUACAGGCAUACCACAAUUCAGAGGAACAAAAAAAAAAAAAGAGAUGAUUAAAUUAUUGCCAAGAUCCAAUGAACAAUAAAUUCUUGCCACAAAUCAAGUAUGGUUCUUUCAACAGUGUAAGGAGAAAGAGUUGGGUGGAUAGGAUGACCAAUGACAAUAAUGGAAACUGAAAAGGCCCAGCUAUGGAGUGGACACAUUAUGCAGAGAUCUUUGCAGCCACCAAUAAAUGCCACAUGAACUAAGGUUGACAGUAACGGAGUGAGCCAGGAAGAAGAUGAAAAAAGAGUUUGCUUAAGUAAGAAAAGAAUAAAACACGAUAUCACUUACCAUUUAACUCUUUGUAUCGCUCUUUAAAAACUUUAGCAUAUCUUUCAACUUCCUCCUCUGUUUUUCCUUCCAUUUCAGAAGCAAUACCUUUUAUGUCAUUCCGUCCAUAUUUCUCACAAGCCCUGAUAAAGGUAUUGAAGUCUCUUCUACUCCAUGAAGAAAAACCCUCUUCCAAUAGUCGCUCCUUUUCUUCCAAUUCUUCAGCAGUCAAAGGUUCUCCACCCUCUUCAGGUUCAUCCACAUCAAUUGUGUCUUUCAACUGAUUCUUUUGAUGCGUUUGCAUGAGGUAGCGUACUUCUUUUUCAUACAAUUCACUCAAUCUUUGUGUGUUGAAAAACUGAAAAUCGUGUAAUUGAGGCAUGCGAGGAAUUCGAGGUUCUUUUGGUUUUGCUGGACCACCUUGACGCAUUGUUUGCUUAAAGUAUUCAGAUUCAGAGUAGUUGCGCUUUCGCUCUCUCUUUGGUGGUUCGAUCCAGUUUUCACUGACAAUCUUCUUGAAGUCAAACUUGUUCUCAUCCUUCAUGAAACCAAAAUAAAAUGAUCAGGGUCAUGAUAUGGAACCAAAACAAAAGAAGGAUGACUCAACCCAGAAUGAAAUGGAACCAGAACUGUCCUUGAAUCAGAAUCGGCUCUCUAAGAUUGGAACCAGCCCAUGGUCAGCACUAAGGGAGGGGAAAUGAGAGGGAUAGACGUAUCUACCUUAUCAUCAUCAAAAUCAUAUAAUUCAGCAGUGUCAUCCAUUUUGAAUUUUAUUGCAUCUUCGGUAAACUUCUUCAUCUUAGCAUCAAGCUCUGCUGUUGCCUCUUCUCCUUUAGCAAUAAUUCUGUCUAUGUCUUCAUCUGUAAUUGUGCUAUCCUUUGAGCUGAAAACCAUUUCAGCACCAAACCUCACCAUUUGAAGCAGCUCAUCUUUAUUAACAGUUUUCUGCUCUGCUAAUCUCCCUUGUUGAAUCACUAAAGCAUCAAGUGCAAGCUUUUUAUAUGCCCUCUCGAUAACUUUUUCCUCAAUGGUAUACUCUGUGCAAAAUCGGAACACUUGAACUUCUUUCUUUUGACCAAUCCUAUGAGCACGAUCCUGUGCUUGCAAAUCAACUUGUGGAUUCCAGUCACUAUCAUAAAGUAUGACAACAUCUGCAGUAGCAAGAUUAAUACCAAGUCCUCCAGCUCUAGUUGACAACAAGAAGACAAAUUUCUCACUCCCUGGCUUGUUAAAGGUAUCAAUGGAAGCAUCACGAUCUUCUCCACCAGUAUUGCCAUCAAUCCGACAAUAUUGAUAGCCACGAAACAUCAAGUAGUCUUCAAGAAUGUCAAGCAACCUAGUCAUCUGUGAAAAUAUCAAAACCCUGGAAUCACGCUCUUUUAGCUUAGGAAGCAACUUAUCCAAGAGAACCAUCUUACCAGCAUUGGUAAUAAGAUGCUCUCCUGUUGUAUAUGGAGGGCCAGGCUCAGCUCCCUGGAAAAGAUAUGGAUGAUUACAGCAUUUACGCAGCUGCAUUGCUAUAUUCAAAAGACGUUUACGUUCUCCACCAGCAUUAACAACUUCAAGGUCUUUCUGCAGCAAUGCCCUGUAAUACUGCUUCUGCAUCUGGGACAUGCCUACUUUCAGUAUGGUCUCCUUCUUUGGUGGCAACCCUUUCUCAACAUCUGAUUUCAGUCUUCGCAGAAGAAAUGGCCGAAGAACCUUGUGCAGUUGUUGAACAACCUCCUGCUGAUCAUUUUCACCAGAAAUUUGAAACCAUUCAUCAAAGGUUUCAGCUGAGCUAAAAAUUUCUGGCAGUAAAAAGUUCAGAAGAGACCAGAGUUCAUGGAGAUUGUUCUGAAGAGGAGUACCAGUAAUGAGGAGCCUGUAAUUGGUGUUAUAAAGUCUCAUUGUUUUUGAAAGAAGAGAAUUUUCAUUUUUAAUUCGAUGGGCUUCAUCAAUGAUUAUGUAGCGCCAGCUAAAGCGACGCAAGGUUGACUUCUCUUUGAUAGCCAUUUCAAAACUUGUAACACACACAUCAAAUUUGCCUGCAACCAGUAAAUUUUCCCGUAUGUGUUUCCUCUCAUCAGGAUUACCAAGAAACUUUACAGCUCGCAAAACUGGACAAAAACGACGAAUUUCAUUCAUCCAGUUACCAAGUGUAGACUUUGGAGCAACUACCAUAUGGGGACCAGUUAUUCCUCUAAAUUCGUGCAGGUAACCCAACAAGGAGAUGGUUUGUAAAGUUUUACCAAGACCCUAGAUUGCAAAAACAUGAAUUUAUCACUAUAACACUGACGCAUAAUAAAAUACAGAAACUCACUGAGAAGUUAUAACACAACCAAACACAGUUCAAAAGAAUACAACAUAACAUAACAAAAGAUCAAGAUAAAAGGGUGAACUCACAGGUUAUUAUAGAAUCAAUAUCAUAUAUCAAAAACAUGGCAUUGAUACAUACCAUUUCAUCUGCAAGAAUUCCAUUUAUACCAUUCUCAUAGAGUCUUAUGAGCCAGUUUAACCCAGCAAGUUGGUAAUCCCUCAUCUUUCCCUGAAUGCAAGAGGGUUGUGCCACCAGCCGAGUGUUUCCAGCCCCAGAUAAACCAUCUUCUUCCUCUUUCAGGCACUCUUCAUCUUCUUCCUCUUCAGUUAUUUUGGAUGCAUGCCGACCCCUUCCCUUAGCUUUCUUCUGGGAUGCAGAUUGAUCAGGUUUGGCAAAAUGAGCAAACAAUUCAGUUUGCUGAAGCAAAUACUUCAGGCGCCCCUUUCCUUUAUUGUUCAUAUCUGCAUCUAUAGCCGCAUUUUGUGCAUCCAAUAUCUCCUGAAUCUUCUGCUUCUUCAAUUUCUGCAUUUCUUUGAGUCUUUCCUUUUCACGCUUGCUCAUUUCAUUGUUGUUUCCUACCUCCUCCACAUCGUCAGUAUCACCGUUGGCAUCGUCUCCAGUACCAUCUGCGGCUUCAUCAUCAUCGGAAUCAGCAGUGCGAGCCACGGCUUCAAGCUCCUCCUCGUCCUCCGCCUCGUUGAUCUGCUCGUUGAUUUGCUCCUCGUCGGACGAAUUGGAGCCACUGGAUAAAGCGUCGUCCGAGGAUUCCUGUUGAUUCGAGAGUCUGGCCAUGGUUGCUUGACUUUCCCUCAGAUCGAGGGUUUCGUUUUGCCUAUAGAUAGGAGAGAGGCAGAGCUAGUUCAAAUUGAAAUUUGUAAGCGACUUUCCAAUAAAAAUGAAAUGAAAUAGCGAGAGGAUGUUUAGUACUACAGAAAAAAAU
rnacentral:misc_RNA from 1 species